rnacentral:rRNA from 1 species
GACGAACGCUGGCGGCGUGCUUAACACAUGCAAGUCGAACGGAAAGGCCCUGCUUUUGUGGGGUGCUCGAGUGGCGAACGGGUGAGUAACACGUGAGUAACCUGCCCUUGACUUUGGGAUAACUUCAGGAAACUGGGGCUAAUACCGGAUAGGAGCUCCUGCUGCAUGGGGGGGGUGGGAAAGUUUCGGCGGUUGGGGAUGGACUCGCGGCUUAUCAGCUUGUUGGUGGGGUAGUGGCUUACCAAGGCUUUGACGGGUAGCCGGCCUGAGAGGGUGACCGGCCACAUUGGGACUGAGAUACGGCCCAGACUCCUACGGGAGGCAGCAGUGGGGAAUAUUGCACAAUGGGCGGAAGCCUGAUGCAGCAACGCCGCGUGCGGGAUGACGGCCUUCGGGUUGUAAACCGCUUUCGCCUGUGACGAAGCGUGAGUGACGGUAAUGGGUAAAGAAGCACCGGCUAACUACGUG